rnacentral:rRNA from 1 species
CCUACGGGGAGCAGCAGUAGGGAAUCUUCCACAAUGGGCGAAAGCCUGAUGGAGCAACGCCGCGUGGGUGAAGAAGGUCUUCGCAUCGUAAAACCCUGUUGUUAGAGAAGAAAGUGCGUGAGAGUAACUGUUCACGUUUCGACGGUAUCUAACCAGACAGCCACGGCUAACUACGUGCCAGCAGCCGCGGUAAUACGUAGGUGGCAAGCGUUAUCCGGAUUUAUUGGGCGUAAAGGGAACGCAGGCGGUCUUUUAAGUCUGAUGUGAAAGCCUUCGGCUUAACCGGAGUAGUGCAUUGGAAACUGGGAGACUUGAGUGCAGAAGAGGAGAGUGGAACUCCAUGUGUAGCGGUGAAAUGCGUAGAUAUAUGGAAGAACACCAGUGGCGAAAGCGGCUCUCUGGGCUGUAACUGACGCUGAGGUUCGAAAGCGUGGGUAGCAAACAGGAUUAGAUACCCCUGUAGUC